AUUGAACGCUGGCGGCAGGCCUAACACAUGCAAGUCGAACGAGUGGCGGACGGGUGAGUAAUGUCUGGGAAACUGCCUGAUGGAGGGGGAUAACUACUGGAAACGGUAGCUAAUACCGCAUACCAUCAGAUGUGCCCAGAUGGGAUUAGCUGGUUGGUGGGGUAAAGGCUCACCAAGGCGACGAUCCCUAGCUGGUCUGAGAGGAUGACCGGCAAAACUGGGACUGAGACACGGUCCAGAUGCCUAAGGGAGGCAGCAGUGGGGAAGAUUGGACAAUGGGCGAAAGCCGGAUGCAGCCAUGCCGCGUGUAUGAAGAAGGCCUUCGGGUGGUAAAGUAAUUUCAGCGGGGAGGCGUUACCCGCAGAAGAAGCACCGGAUAACUCCGUGCCAGCAGCCGCGGUAAUAC
rnacentral:rRNA from 1 species